UGUCCUAAAAUAUAACCACAAAACAAGCUAGGUAUUUAUAGUUCCUUAACAAAAGUUAUAUAUAUAUAUUUUUCUUUGUCAAAAAUUUCCUCCUUUAUCAAAAUGGCCACCAAGAUAAGUAGUAUUCAAGAUUCUCUUUGUCAUACAAGGCCUCCACCGUCGUCUCCGAGCAGCAGUGUCUCAAGUCCUUCAGGCUCUGAGGGUAAAACCAAGGCACCAACUACCAAGGGCUCAACUUCUUCGGCCUCCGGGGAUAGGCCGAAGGCACCAACACCCAAGAAUAUAUUUUAUCCCAAGAGUAAUUGAUUUCUUCAAAGGUGUACGUAGAAGAGCCAAAAUUGGAAGGAAUAAUGAUGCUGUAAGGCGAAAGAAGAAAUGGA